rnacentral:rRNA from 1 species
GAUGAACGCUGGCGGCGCGCCUAACACAUGCAAGUCGAACGAGCGAGAGAGAGCUUGCUUUCUCGAGCGAGUGGCGAACGGGUGAGUAACGCGUGGGUAACCUGCCUCACACAGGGGGAUAACAGUUGGAAACGGCUGCUAAUACCGCAUAAAGCGCACAGUAUCGCAUGGUACGGUGUGAAAAAACUCCGGUGGUGUGAGAUGGACCCGCGUCUGAUUAGCUAGUUGGCAGGGCAACGGCCCACCAAGGCGACGAUCAGUAGCCGACCUGAGAGGGUGACCGGCCACAUUGGGACUGAGACACGGCCCAGACUCCUACGGGAGCAGCAGU